rnacentral:rRNA from 1 species
GACGAACCGUGCGAACGUUGUUCGAAAUCACUGGGCUUAAAGGGCGCGUAGGCGGGCGGCCGCGUCCGGGGUGAAAUCCCACGGCUCAACCGUGGAACGGCCUCGGAUACGGGCGGCCUCGAGGGGGGUAGGGGCAUCUGGAACUGUGAGUGGAGCGGUGAAAUGCGUAGAUAUCGAGAGGAACACCUGCGGCGAAGGCGGGGUUGCUGGGCUGACACUGACGCUGAGGCGCGAAAGCUAGGGGAGCGAACGGG